rnacentral:rRNA from 1 species
GAUGAACGCUAGCGGCAGGCCUAAUACAUGCAAGCUGAACGGUAAUUCUUGUAGCAAUAUGAGAGCUAGAGUAGCGUAAGGGUGCGGAACACGUACACAACCUCCCAAUAAGUGGGGAAUAGCCCAGAGAAAUUUGGAUUAAUACCCCGUAACAUAACGAUGUGGCAUCACAUUGUUAUUAUAGAUUUUUCGCUUAUUGUUGGGUGUGCGGCUGAUUAGAUAGUUGGCGGGGUAACGGCCCACCAGGUCUACGAUCAGUAGCUGAUGUGAGAGCAUGAUCAGCCACACGGGCACUGAGACACGGGCCCGACUCCUACGGGAGGCAGCAGUAAGGAAUAUUGGACAAUGGACGCAAGUCUGAUCCAGCCAUGCCGCGUGAAGGAUUAAGGUCCUCUGGAUUGUAAACUUCUUUUAUAAGGGACGAAAAAAGGCUUUUCUAAGUCGUCUGACGGUACCUUAUGAAUAAGCACCGGCUAACUCCGUGCCAGCAGCCGCAGUAACAC